GAGUCACACAUGUGCUAUCGAAGCGGUACUGAAUUCGUUGUUUUUAAAACGAAAUGAAUGAACGAUAUGUUGAAAAAUACGCAAACCGAAAACUUCCAGUAUUUAUAAAGAAACAUAAUUUCAAAUUUGUACCUGAAAGACAGAAAAGGCGAAGAAAUAUCGAUCAAAUUUGCACCAUGUUAUCCUGACCUGGCAACUCAGACCAUGUAAUGUGGCACAGAGAUUAUGGUGGAGAGUUCACUCAGUCUUUUGUCGUGAGGCAAUGAAUUGAAGAUAGGACUUAUUCCUGUUCAUUUUUUUGGCAAACAGUUGGGUCAUGGUGUCCAGACAGGUUUAUUGAAUACUCCUGCUGUAAAAUAUCCAGCUGAAAGGAUUUUUCAACAACGAAAGGUGCCUAUUCUUUAAACAAAUCUGGAAUCAAGGUUUGAGCCAUGUUCAUGGAGGUAACAGAUUUUUACUUCUCUUCACUGAAAUAGUUCACUUGGCAAUCUUGAAAAUUGUGCCUGCCAUUAAGCCAAAAUUUAUCCUUUGGCAUGGUAUUCUCACUAUUCUAUUUCCUUUAUCUCUUCCAUAUUCUUUAUUGUUCUCUAAAAUGCUUUCUCUUUGCUUAUUUUAUGGUUUAUUAGUUAUUAUGUGUUCAUUUAAAUGUAUGUCCUGUCCUGUCAGUUUGUCUUGUUAUCAUACUGUAAUAUUGUUACAUAGAACCAAGGUAGCCUUGGUAAUUGCAACUGUAGCAUUGGUAAUUUCCACGAAACUAAAAUUGCGGGGGCUGUCAACUAGCUGUUCAGUACGUUAGGUGCUGGUCUAGUAUAGAUAUAAAACAGUGUUUAAUUUCAAUUUCUAAAUUUCAAUUUUAAACAAGAGGUCUUACGUGCUUAAGUUUUAACGCAUUGUUGUUCUCAGACUUAUCUUUUGUUGACAUAACUUGCAAUAAAGCUCCGCAGCUACUUUCGAUUUGUAACACAAAGACACACGCACGUUGAAUCCAGUUUCUAAGUGUCUUUUAUUUAAUUCUCGUGCUCCCUAUAUACCUAUGCUCAAGACUGUCAUAUCUAAUUGCAAUAUAUAGUGCACUGUUACAUUCGCCCUUCGCUUAAAUUUUCGUCCCCGAACGAGGACGUAUGUCUUGCUGAAGUUGAUAACGUUGGGGGUCGGCUCUAGGCCUACGGGGAGGUGGUUGUUCCACGAGGUGCUCUGGCAAUGCGUGAACCACUGCGAAAUCACCCGACUCGCGACCAGGAGCAACGAUUCGGCCGCUAUCCAGUGGUAUAUAGCCUGUCUUAAGGUUGCCGUGAUGACUACCAUCAUUCGAACUAAUUGGAUAAGUCGUCCCCAUUCUCUUCAUAUAAUUUUAUUUGACGAUCAAAUUUGCAUUUUAUCCGAUAACAACCAAACCCCAAUUAUCAAUAUUCCUUAGGCACGUUGGAAAUAGCAGGCUAUCUCCCCCACGUGACCUUCCGCCAAUCAAAUCAAUAGUUAUAUAUUAAUUAAAUGAUUCAACAUUCUCCCCAACAAAAAAAUGUUUAUGAAUAUUGUUCUUUAAGUCUACGAAGAUCUCGUCCUUCGAUUGCAGCCUUUCUCAGAGGUCGUCUCGAGUUGCUUUCUUUUUCUUUCGCCGCGACAACAGAAUAUUCAUUCUUCUUCGUCUCUUCUCCUUCAUUCUCUCCUUCGUCUACAGUAAUUGAGUUAAUUUUCGCGGCAAUGUGAUAAAAUCGAUAGCGCGAUUACAACUAGUCCAAAGCAUGAAAAGGAGCCCAAGCACAUAGAUAAAAAGCGCUGUUAUGAGACGAUUUGCCUUCGCUUCCCAUUCGGUUAGCACUGAGGGAAUCGUGUAGAUAGCGGAGGUUUGACAUGUUUCCUCGCAUUUCUUAGCUACUAGACGUGAUAAGACAUUUGCAUUUAAAUGCGAUUUACCUGGCCGAUGUUGAACCACAAAUUCGAACUCUUGCAAAUCCAUUAGCCAUCUCGCUAAACGCCCCUUCGGUUCGAUGGGAUUUAGUCAACGAAGUGCAUUAUGAUCAGUAACUAUUUCGAAUUUGCGCCCCAUGCGGUAUAGACGAAAGUAUUGGGUGACAUAAUGAAUUGCCAACGCUUCCUUUCUAUUUUUCUAAUUAAUCUAUUUUGUUGAGAGUGAAUAUUUCUUAUUAAAUUUGAAGUUUUGGUGUGUUAAAUUUGCCCACCUUUUUUGUCCUGUGUUUUCCGCUUGUCCAAAUAUAAUCUGGAUCAAUGCCAAACUCACUAGAAGCAGUGAGUACUUCUUUAUUAUCAAAGCACUGGAUGAUACAAAUCUUUUAUCUUCACGAACAAGUUGAUUUAUUGAGCCCCUUCUUUCUUCAUUUUAUCUGCUGAUUUGAGCAUUGGUGUUGCUUUCUUUGCUUCCUUUUCUUUUGGUACCAUGUUCUUCAUAAUAGUCCUAGUGACAGUGAUUCUUUUCUCUAGAAGGGCAUCCUGAAGUUGAACACUGGUGAAAUACCUGUCUACAAAUAAAGAAGUAUUUGGUGGGUCUGUUUGAAUGAGGCGAAGUACUGCUAAACCUCCUAUUGAUAACUGAAUAUAGUGUUGGCAUCAGGGAAGACAUCUUUUCCCUGGAAAAUCUCAAAAUCUAGAGCUUCCCCACAAGAUGAAGCCAAGACUAAGUUCUUCAGUCUGGAUAUGGUUUUCCACGCACAUAUUGUCGAACAGCAACAUGUCCAGUGAAUGGAAUCAUUUGUUCAUCAAUGCAGCAGUGUGAUGGUCUUGGUCGGCUAAUGCGUGUCUGCCUAACUCUAUUCAAUAAUGGACGUACUUUCCACAGCUUGUCUUGUCGUUUCUUAUCUUCUGCUACAUCAGCAUCAACAACAACUUUAAUGUGAGAUCGUAGUUUGAAGAACCGAUCACGUUUCAUAGCUUUCUUGAUCGCUGUCACUCCAGUAUUUUUACUCCAAUACAUCCGAAUUCUUGGAUAUUUUUAUUUUUCCCAUCAUGAUGUUGAUCCCAAAAAACUUUCGAAACUCUUCCGGUGUUGUUCCCAGAGAACGUCCAGUUUGCACUACUGACGUUUGAUUUGUAGCUCGAGCAAUCAUGGCGUACAAAUCAUUGUCAACAUACUGAUUAAAAUAAUCAAUUGGAUUCUAAUGUUUAUUGAUAGUAUCAGCUGUGGGUAGUUGAUUACGAUCAUCAGCAUGUUGAGGAAUAAAUUCUAGGGUAAAUGUUGUAGAAUGCGACCAAUCAUGCAAAAGUCAUUAUCGAUGCUUUGCACAUGUCACAGUUGGCAUCUGGAGUUGACAUUUAUUUUGCAAAUGACAUAAAGUAUAGUAAAAUGCUGAAACAUGACCAAGCGAAGAGACUUUGCUAUAAUUGUCUUUGUCUGCCAAAUGAACGCUUACCGCUGCAUAACAUUGUUUUCAGUGAUGCAGGUUGAGUACAAGGCUUAGCGACUAAUGACGUCAGUACAAUGGGUCUAUAAUAUGCAUGCAGAGUUCAAAUUGUUUAAUUUCAAUCUCUCAUUACCAUUCAGAAACUAAUAUACUAUUCACUCGCAACAAAUAGCGUGUCCAAUUUGUUGAUCAAUGUAAGAAUUGACGAUGGGAACUUCUUACCAUCGAAUGUGCAGGACACAUUUUUGAAUGAACAUGCAAAAGUUGGAGAGUGAUGGAGGGUACUCGAACAUAAACACAUAAUUCGCAGCCAUGAAACCAAUUGUUGCGGGAACUACUGCAAACUCGCUCGCAUUUUCAAUUCUUCCUCUGACCAAAAUCGCUGGACAUACAUCAUCGAUGUCUUUCGUCACAUUCUCGAGACGUCCGUGCUCCUAUAGAAAAGAUUUAUUUUCACAAAACACUUCAGCCUGGUGGUACUCCACAACAUGAAACUUUUUUCUCAAAAAUAGCUUUUCUUUGCCCAGGACUAUUGUUCUCAGUGUUUGAUGACAAAUGGCACAGAUUUGAAUCUGGUAGUUGCCAUAGCAAUCAAGAUAUUACCCCCAGCAGUGAAAAAUGGUGGUUGCGCCAGUAUUGCAGGACCGAAUCACAAAAACAGUGAAGAAAGUUACUAAUGUACAAGAUCUAUUUUUGGCACUAGAAUGGUUGUUAAAUUCUAAAUCUUACUAUAUUUUUUGCUCAAUCAAUUUUUCGGUCAAUUCGGAGUGACAUAACCUCCCAUUGUUUGUGAUCUACAUCAGCAAUCUCUACCAAUCUAGUACCAAAUCCGUGAAAUUUGCAUUGAAAUUUGCAAUUAGUAUUACAAGGUUUGGUGAUAGAAAUAUGAAAUGGCAGUACCUAAAUUGGGUCACUAUUCACCACAGGCAUAUGUCUUGCCCUCUUGCGUCUCUUGUUGGUCCUUCUUGGCUUUCCUCUUUGCUCUCACAAUUCUUCUCACUGGAUUUCACAUGAGCCUUGGCGAUACGUUGCUUGUCAGCUGAACUACUCCACACUAAGCAAUGUUUACCUGGCCUGAUGCCCAUCUUCUCCAAGGUCUGA